rnacentral:piRNA from 1 species
UAUGUUGUGACAUCCCAUAUUCCUGGGU